AGCAAUACCUCGCUGAUACGGGGGUGAAUCCGAAGCCUCUAGAAGGUUAACAUAGGCUCUCCACCUCCUACUUCUACUCAAUACGUCCCCGUCGUACAAAACGGUAAAAUGUCUCUCAAUUAUCCAAGCUUGUGUAUACGGGGAAACUAGACUUGGGCAAAAUGAUUCUUUGCGACGAUUCGAUCGAG
rnacentral:ribozyme from 1 species